rnacentral:rRNA from 1 species
UCACUGGUGUUCGGGUUGUCAUGCCAAUGGCACUGCCCGGUAGCUAAAUGCGGAAGAGAUAAGUGCUGAAAGCAUCUAAGCACGAAACUUGCCCCGAGAUGAGUUCUCCCUGAGACUUUAAGUCUCCUGAAGGAACGUUAAAGACGAUGACGUUGAUAGGCCGGGUGUGUAAGCGCAGCGAUGCGUUGAGCUAACCGGUACUAAUGAACCGUGAGGCUUAACCUU